CCGAAAGUUGAUCCUAGAGGUAUAUUUCAUGGACAUGACAACACAGUUGAAGAUGUUCAGUUCUGCCCUUCCAGUGCGCAGGAGUUUUGUAGUGUGGGUGAUGAUGCUUGUCUUAUUCUGUGGGAUGCUCGAACUGGCACUGCCCCAGCUGUUAAGGUUGAGAAAGCUCACACUGGAGAUGUUCAUUGUGUUGAUUGGAAUCCCCUUGAUGUUAACUAUAUCUUAAGUGGGUAUG